UACGGAGGGUGCAAGCGUUAAUCGGAAUUACUGGGCGUAAAGCGUGCGUAGGCGGCUCGCUAAGCCAGAUGUGAAAGCCCCGGGCUCAACCUGGGAACUGCAUUUGGAACUGGCGAGCUAGAGUUAGGUAGAGGAGAGUGGAAUUUCAGGUGUAGCGGUGAAAUGCGUAGAUAUCUGAAGGAACACCAGUGGCGAAGGCGGCUCUCUGGACCCAAACUGACGCUGAGGCACGAAAGCGUGGGUAGCAAACAGGAUUAGAUACCCUGGUAGUCCACGCCGUAAACGAUGUCAACUAGCCGUUGGUCCUUUAUACAGGAUUAGUGGCGCAGCUAACGCAUUAAGUUGACCGCCUGGGGAGUACGGCCGCAAGGUUA
rnacentral:rRNA from 1 species